rnacentral:rRNA from 1 species
AUGUCAAGAAAUGCAUGCAUUUUUUUGUUUUUUGUUUUUUGUUUUUGGCAGUAUGAUCCCUCACAGCCUUUUACUUUUCUUACUCCACCAACAGGAAUGGUGUGCCCAGUUUACCACGCAUACUGCCAAAAUGAAAAUGGUCGGAGAUUCGACAUCUAUGUCUGUGAUGCCAACGGAAUCUUUCCCGCUCUCAUGGAUGCCCACAAGCAGAUUGCACGCAAGAUAGAAACUAAAACCGAGGCCUCCUUGAAAGAAGGAGCAGUUGUUAUGAGUCUUAUCAUCAAUUCUUAUUUUCACACGGGAUCCUAG